rnacentral:lncRNA from 1 species
GUAAUAUAUAUAUAUAUAUACACGAGCUGAUAGUUUUUUUUUUAGAAAUAAAUAGCAUAUUACCCGCUUGGUUUAUUUCAUUUAGAAAUAAACUUAGCUGAAAAUAUGAAUCAACUAGAAUUCGAACUUGAGACCUCGAGUACCAACCACCAAGUCCUUUGUUACUUGCGCUAGGGACGGUCGGUAUAUAUGAGUUGAUAUUAAAAAAGUUACUCCAGUAUGCGUAUUACAACUAAGAUAACUAGAUGAGUGGAGUGUUCAAGGAGGUACGGUCAAUGACUACAGCCAUUAAAGAAUAAAAAAAAAGAGGGGGGAAUUAGCUCAACUUUUAUAUAUUGUCUCUAUAAAAGUCAUGAUGCUUUCAAAUAUAUUUCUAUCGUUAGAAUCCGUUAGAAAAUUUUAAUUAAUCAUAAGUUAAAUACUUAAUCAUGAUUAGUUUUUGAUAUUUUUAUCCUUUUAUAUGAUACUGUUAUGGCUUUUUAAGGGAUAUAUUUAUAAUGGCAAAAUUGAAAAUAUAAACAGUUCUUUAACGGUAACAAAUCAGAGGGAUAUAUUUAACUUUUGCAAGAACAAUAUAUAAAAGUUUAACUUUGUAAGAAUAUACUUGUUAUUAUUCAUUAUAUUUAUAGAAAUCUGUAUGAAAUUAACCCAAAAAAAAUAUUGCAUGACAUUUGAGUAUGCUAACAUAAGCUACUUAUACAUA